rnacentral:pre_miRNA from 1 species
AAAGUACUCCCUCUGUCCCAAAAUUCUUGUCUUCGAUUUGUCUAGAUACGGAUGUAUCAAGUCACAUUUUAGUAUUAAAUACAUCCAUAUCUAGACAAAUCUAAGACAAGAAAUUUGGGACAGAGGGAGUAGUUG